rnacentral:lncRNA from 1 species
GACUGAGCAACUGAACUGAACUGAGAUGAGAGACAAUUCUACAAUGUUUAUAAUACAUUUAUUCUCAUAGGUCCCAUGUGACAAAGUUUGGAUUAGAUAUUGCAGAUGGCUUCAAGGGGAUUACUUCCCAGACUUUGUCAUGAGAAGCAUUUGACAAGAAGGACAAAGUGCAAAUGCAUAAGCAACUUCCAAUCAGAACCUCUGCACGGGCUUGGCCAGGUAUCCUGAAACUCUGGGAAGUCCUAAACAUAAACAAAAUUCUGCAAAGGAAUCACGGACAAAUCACCCUUCUGUAAAACAGCACAAACAAUGAUUGGAAUUCUGAACUGGAGAUAUAAGUUACUUUGAGGUGAUGCUCUCUGGAAGGCCAGAAUGUCCAGGAAUUUGGGUUCUGAACCAAUUAUGAUAUGAAGACUAAACUGGAGGAGAAUUUGGAGGUAAAGCUACCGAUAGAUCACCCCUGACCAAAUGAAAACUUCAUAGAGAAGAUCUGAGAACCAUCUCCCUCGUGCAUUCCAAGCAUAGAAUACCAGCAGAUCCUGAUCAAAAUAAACCACUAAAACAGAGAGUGGAGUCUCUAAGCUUGCACUUUGUGCCAUAUGGGCAUGUGUGUGGAGGAAGUGAUGGUGAAGAGGGAAAGAAGAGACAAGGAAGAGACCAAGAAUUAAGGACCCCUGUGCUGUCCUAUGAGCUGACACGGGCAAAGGUACCAAAUCUGGCCAUUAAAAUGCAUCUGAAGCAACUGUGUGCACCAUUAUCAUUAUUGUUAUCAUCAUUAUCAUCAUCAUCGUCGUCAUUUUUAGUUCUCCUUGCAGUCUGCCAACCUCUUUACGGAGCAGAUCAUCUUAAUAGUGACCCAGCCCCUAACUUCAAGGUUGUCCACAGAUCUGACGCUGCCAGAAAACCAGUUACAAGAAGGGAGACAAAAGGGAUCUGGAGGAUGGAGAGGCAUUCUGAGUUCCACUAAUGAGUGAGGUGACUCAUGGCUGACUCAGACAAACGAAGGCAAGCCUGGGAGAGGGGAGGCAGUGGGGGGCAGAUCUCAAAGGAGCCCUGCCGAAACAUUCAAAUGGGAGCUAGGAAGCCAGGGACACGGUGUUAUUUAGAGAGCAGCCUGCAGCUCUGGCGAUGAGGGAGGAACAGAUCUGAAAACAGAGGGAGAAAAUUACAUUUGAGGCCGAAACUGAGUUGUGAAUCUGUAGUUUUGACAAAUGUGUAACAUUCUCUGGUGACAUUGAGCUGCUCCUUGGCAAAUCUCAGAAUACUAAGUCAAUAGGAAUUAAUUGUCAUCAGUUUCCUGGGGAGUAGAAGUAAACGAGGUACCACCCUCUAUAUUUCUAAUGAUCUCAAUGAGAAAAAUAAGCCUUUUUCUUUAGUAUUUUACAUUUGGACAACUCUGUGACCUGACCUAUGCUUAUAGCUUUUUUUUAAAUUAAUUUAUUUUUUAGCUGAAGGAUAAUUGUUUUAUAGAACUUUAUUGUUUUCUGUAAAACCAACAUACCACUGAAGUGUCUUCUCUCUUAUUAAUGGCUACUUGAGGUUUCAAGUUUGCAGAUUCCAAAGUCAAAUAUUGUUAUGAAGGUUUAUAAUUGCAUUUUCCUAUAUGGACUGUACUGAAAUGAUAUGUCCCACCACAUGCUAUGUCUAGGUCCCCUAAAGAACAUGCAUUUGUGAGAUGGCUAGAUGUAGGUACAGACUACUUGGGUGACACAGUUUUCCGUGUACUAAAUAUCCCAUACAGAGAUCAAACCCAUGACCUCAGUCUCAUCAAGGCAAUGAAAGAGAACUGAGCUAUCUAAAAAUAAUUUUGGUUGAUUACAUAUUUAUAUGUGAUUUGAUGACUAUUGUCACAAAUGCACUUCACUGGAAUGGCACGACGGUGGAA